ACUGCUCAGUAACACGUGGACAACGUGCCCUAAAGUGGAGCAUAAUCUCGGGAAACUGAGGAUAAUUCUCCAUAGACCAUGAGAUCUGGAACGACUUAUGGUUCAAAGUUCCGGCGCUUUAGGAUCGGUCUGCGGCCUAUCAGGUAGUAGUGGGUGUAACGUACCCCCUAGCCAGUUACGGGUAUGGGCCUUGAGAGAGGGAGCCCAGAGUUGGAUUCUGAGACACGAAUCCAGGCCCUACGGGGCGCAGCAGUCGCGAAAACUUCACAAUGGGCGAAAGCCCGAUGAGGGAAUUCCUAGUGCUAGCACAUUUGUGUUAGCUUUUCCUUAGCGUAGAUAACUAGGGGAAUAAGGGCUGGGUAAGACGGGUGCCAGCCGCCGCGGUAAUACCCGCAGCCCGAGUGGUGGUCGAUUUUAUUGAGUCUAAAACGUUCGUAGCCGGUCUGAUAAAUCCUUGGGUAAAUCGGGAAGCUUAACUUUCCGAAUUCCGGGGAGACUGUCAGGCUUGGGAUCGGGAGAGGUAUGAGGUACUUCAGGGGUAGGGGUAAAAUCCUGUAAUCCUUGGAGGACCACCGGUGGCGAAGGCGUCAUACUAGAACGAAUCCGACGGUGAGGGACGAAGCCCUAGGUCGCAAACGGGAUUAGAUACCCCGGUAGUCUAGGGUGUAAACGCUGCAGACUAGGUGUUGGAGGCCCUACGGGGGCACCCAGUGCCCGAGAGAAGUUGUUAAGUCUGCUACUUGGGGAGUACGUCCGCAAGGAKGAAACUUAAAGGAAUUGGCGGGGGAGCAC
rnacentral:rRNA from 1 species